GCGGAGGAAAAGAAACUAACAAGGAUUCCCCUAGUAACGGCGAGUGAAGCGGGAAGAGCUCAAAUUUGAAAUCUGGUAGCCUUCGGUUGCCCGAGUUGUAAUCUAGAGAAGUGUUUUCCGUGCCGGCCCAUGUACAAGUCCCUUGGAACAGGGCGUCAUAGAGGGUGAGAAUCCCGUCCUUGACAUGGACCCCCGGUGCUUUGUGAUACACUUUCAACGAGUCGAGUUGUUUGGGAAUGCAGCUCAAAAUGGGUGGUGAAUUCCAUCUAAAGCUAAAUAUUGGCGAGAGACCGAUAGCGAACAAGUACCGUGAGGGAAAGAUGAAAAGCACUUUGGAAAGAGAGUUAAACAGUACGUGAAAUUGUUGAAAGGGAAACGAUUGAAGUCAGUCAUGCUCUUAGGAUUCAGCCGUUCUGCGGUGUAUUUCCUUUGAGUGGGGUCAACAUCAGUUUUGAUCGAUGGAUAAAGGCACGAGGAAGGUAGCACUCUCGGGUGAACUUAUAGCCUCGCGUCAUAUACAUUGAUUGGGACUGAGGAACGCAGCAUGCCUUUAUGGCCGGGAUUCGUCCACGUACAUGCUUAGGAUGUUGACAUAAUGGCUUUAAACGACCCGUCUUGAA
rnacentral:rRNA from 1 species